CUCCAUAUCAUGAAAGCCCCCCCAAUACAUGGAGGAAGACACCGGAAGCCAUGACUGAAUUCAAAGCCACCUCAAGCACAGAAACCCUUCUGCACUUUGCUUUCUCUCUCUCAUCUCCGCCCUGCCGACACUUCCAUUGAGGCGCCAAUGUGUCCCGAGCCCCGCACUCGCACGUGUAGUAUUUUUACCUUUUAGCACUACCUGAUUGCAGAAGCAACCAAACGGAAAAAGGAACAAGAGAGGAGACAAUGGAAAAGGACAAGGACACCCAGAAAGGAACAGAAAAUGAAGAAGGAAAGUACGUGGGAACAAAGAAAAUAUCAAGCAAGCUCUUCUGAACACCACCCAACUUUGUGUUGUUUUUUCUCCUUGUACAAUAAUGGCUUCCCAGAUGAGAUGCCAAAUCACAACCCUGGAAGAAAUUCUUUUCCAAUAGGUCUAAAAAAACAGGAAAAAAGGGAAAAAGAAAAGAGUAGAAUAUGACAUUAAAUUCUUUGCCUCCAGCCUAUAACGAACAACAAGAAUCAGAGUAAAUCGAAACAAUUUAUUGUACAUAGUAGUCAAUUAAGG